rnacentral:lncRNA from 1 species
CACGAUUAACCUUGAAAUAAAAUGAUAUUUGUGAGGUUUGAUUAUAUUGGUGUAUACAGUUUGAAUUGUUUAAAACGGGGUUUAUCACCGUCGUUUUGAACUUCUCUUAAAAGCUAUCAAAAUAUAAAAUUGUGCUUAAUAUUAAAACUCCAGCGUUUCCGUCCUGAAAUCCUCUAAAUUUUAUAAAAAUUCCACUAAACAUUUUACUUCUAAACUAGGUUAUUUUACACCUUGAAUAUAUC